CCUACGGGGGGCAGCAGUGAGGAAUAUUGGUCAAUGGUCGGGAGACUGAACCAGCCAAGCCGCGUGAGGGAUGAAGGUACAGAGUAUCGUAAACCUCUUUUGUCAGGGAACAAAGGCGGGGACGUGUCCCCGGAUGAGUGUACCUGAAGAAAAAGCAUCGGCUAACUCCGUGCCAGCAGCCGCGGUAAUACGGAGGAUGGGAGCGUUAUCCGGAUUUAUUGGGUUUAAAGGGUGUGCAGGGGGUCUGUUAAGUCAGCGGUCAAAGCCCGGGGCUCAACCCCGGCCCGCCGUUGAAACUGGCAGUCGCGAGUUGGAGAGAAGUAUGCGGAAUGCGCGGUGUAGCGGUGAAAUGCAUAGAUAUCGCGCAGAACUCCGAUUGUGAAGGCAGCAUGCCGGCUCCACACUGACGCUGAGGCACGAAAGCGUGGGUAUCGAACAGGAUUAGAUACCCGAGUAGUC
rnacentral:rRNA from 1 species